GUGACAAACAAAGAGAGGGAGAGAGGGGUGUGGGUAAACUUUGCACUUUGGAUUUACUUUUGACAUUUCUCUCCCACCAAGAGAUCAAAACCAGCAGCAGGAACACUAUAUUUGGAUUUCUCAACACCAUCUCUCUGCUCCAUUCCUUCAAUCAGAUACUAGAGGUAGAAUCUGGAAGGCGAAUUAAUAAGAAACUCAAAUAGUUUCUUUGAAGGAAACUAGCAGCAAUUAGAGAUUGUAAUUCAAGGGACGCAUAUUUUUCAUAGUGGUUUUUUUAUUUGCUGGGAUGGGAACUGUGGGCACUUCGGCAUUUUUCACCCUCCCAGAGAUUUAAAUCCAUAGAAGGGACAUUGAGAUUUGGUCUGAGUUGGAGGUUCUUUCCUUUGAGUUAGGAUUUCUCAUCAGCAUCUCUCUAUUUCCAUUGCUUC